rnacentral:rRNA from 1 species
UACGAAGGGGGCUAGCGUUGUUCGGAAUUACUGGGCGUAAAGCGCACGUAGGCGGAUAUUUAAGUCAGGGGUGAAAUCCCAAGAGCUCAACUCUGGAACUGCCUUCGAUACUGGAAAGCUCGAGUCCGGGAGGAGGUGAGUGGAACUGCGAGUGUAGAGGUGAAAUUCGUAGAUAUUCGCAAGAACACCAGUGGCGAAGGCGGCUCACUGGCCCGGUACUGACGCUGAGGUGCGAAAGCGUGGGGAGCAAACAGG